ensembl:lncRNA
CAAGGAGACGUUGUAAAUGGCAGUAAGCAAUUUGGCUUCGUGAACCAUGCCAGGACGGUUGGAUAUCUAGAGCAGAUGGGCUUGUUCUGGCUUCUGUAGAGAAAGAAGAGUAGAAAGAGAACGCUAAGGGGCCAUGGUGAGAAACAGAACAUUGGACCAGUGUGAUGGCUCAUUGAAAUUAAGCAGCUGGAGACCCAGAAUGUGAUGUGACUUGAAAUCAACUGCAGGAGGCUUCAUAUGUCAGCCCAUUAAAAUCAUGUGCUCAAAGAGUUUCCUACAAGGCAUUCAGUGGCAAACUACAUGCCAACCUUCUCGGUGCAAGAAUGUCACAGAUUUGCCAACAUGAGGAUCUCCAGUAGACCAAACUAAAGGCUUCCUUGAACUGAGCCAUCUGCUUUUAAAUCUCCCAAGUGCUGGGACUAUAGUUGUGUUUUACCAAAGCCAGGUUCCUUCUCUUGAAUGCAAUUAUCUUAGAGUUUUAUUGCUGUGAACAGAGACCAUGACCAAGGCACCUCUUAUGAGGACAACAUUUAAUUGGGGCUGGCUUACAGUUUCAGAGGUUCAGUCCAUUACCAUCAAGGCAGGAGCAUAGCAGUGCCCAGGCAGGCGUGGUGCAGAAGAAACUGAGAGUUCUACCUCUUCAUCUGAAGGCCAAUAGGAGAAUAUUGGAUUCUAAGCAGCCAGGAAGAGGGUCUUAAAGCCCAUGCCUACAGUGACAAAUUCCUCCAACAAAGCCACACCUCCUAAUAGUGCCACCACCCCCUGGGUCAAACAUAUUCAAAUCACCACAGCAAUUAAAUGUAAAUCUGAAUAUGUUGCCAGUACACUAUUGAAUGGGUUAAUAAAACACUUUGAUUCUCAACUUGCAUCCUAUAAAAGUAAGAUAAAAAAGUAAAAGAUUAAAAUUCUUUGAUGAUAUCUUUCUUUCAGUCUCUUAAUGAACACAUAUUUUGAUGCUUUAAUUUUAUUUACAGGCAAUAAGAAGCUACAAGAAAAUAAAAUUCCACUAAUUUUUUAACACCACAUAUUUAAAUUAAUGUCUUCUGUCUGGUCUUUUUGGUUUUUGAGUUUGGAUGAGGUUUCGUGUAGCCUGGCCUGACCUUAAGCUGUCUAUGUAGCCAAGUCUGACCUUGAACUCCUCCUCUUCCUGCUUGGUCUCCUGAGUGAUAGGAGUAGAUACCUGGAUCACAAUAUUUAGCUUCAAUUCUUUUAAAAGUGCAUAAUUUCAGGGUGCAGUGACACCCAGUUUUAAUCCCGGCACUUGGGAAGAGAAAGGCCUGUACAGUCAGGUUU